rnacentral:lncRNA from 1 species
AGAAUCUCGAAGUGGGUAUCAGAAGAAGAGAAGAUGUGAGGGACAAAAGGAUAGGAUCUACAGUGCUGUUACAUCCUCACUGGCAUCAACAAUUUAGACUCAUCUCUAUAUCCAUGUGUAACUUGUUACAGUCUGCAGUCAUAAGCUGGCCUCAACACACUGAAGUAUAUUCAGCAUUAUAAACACACUGAAACACCAAAAAGGCUGAGAUGCACAUAAUUUGAAGAGUGAAAAUGGCUCGAGAGCAUGAAGUCUCA